rnacentral:rRNA from 1 species
UCGGCGUGAUUCGAUGAAAGUCGUAUGUACGGCUUGGAGGGAGAUCUUUCCUAUCUUUCAAGAUCCACCCUACAAUAUGGGGUCAAAAAGCCAAAAAAAAGUGAUUUUAGCCCUUAUAAAAAGAAAACGGAUUCUUGA